UGACCAUUUAAACUCUGUUUUCUAACUGCUACAACAACGGUUAUCACCGGUUAUCGUCAGUUUUGUUGCCAGUUAAAAAACUCCCAUGUUUUGCCCCACAUUCUCCACCUUCCGUGCUUUCAGGCGGCCAUCUCCUCCUCACCCAUAAAACUAACAUCCAUCUCCACAACCUGCAUCAACAAAUCAAAAGGCAAAAGUGGGUAAGUGAGUUACUGAAUAAAAGAAAAUUCGUCCUCACUCCCUUAGACGCGACAUUCACCUCCUCAACCCAGUUCGAUCGAUACUAACCCCUGCUCCCCAUAUCACCGUAGUUACAACGCUCCUAUCCUAACCACCACCGGAGAUAUGGUCAUAUGGAUUGAUUGCAACAAGUAGUGUUCAUCUCUUCGUCAGAUGCGGGAUUCCGGAGUCCAUAUUAACGAAUUUUGCUUCUCCAGUGAACUUUGCGUCUUCACCAAACACCCCCCACCCCCUUUUAACCUAAUUGGAAAAAAAUACAAAGUAAAUAGUGGGCUUUGGAAAAAAGGAAUGACGGAUUGCUUAUAUACGAAAUUUGAGUUUCUAUUUUAUCCUUUAUUCCUUUAUGUUAAACCUCAAUGGUGUAAUACUAUCAUCACUUUUGUUGCGAUUUACUUUGCUGAAUACUCCUACAAAUGCACAAGCCGUUGAAGUGGAUUCUUCCCUCGGGUGUUGCUCCUAACUUUUAGAAUAUUUUCUUUUCUCUUAAUUUUUUAGGUGCAUUUUUCUACUUUCGUUUGGUUUUUGUUACGUUUUUUUUAAUAAUAUGGAGAAUGCUUUAUUUGUGCACUAGAUUUUUGAUGAUGUUAUCAUAAGUAUAGUAAGGGCAUUCUUAUUUUAACAGUUCGAAUAAUUAUAUUGUGCUUAAGAACUAGACUCAUGGUUAUUUUAGCUUUUACAAAUUUUUGAGGUGCAUUUUUCUACUUUUAUGGUAGGAGGAAAGCUACAUGCAGUGGGUGUCUAAAGGGCUAAUCAUGGAUUUUUUAUGUUAAAAAAUAUAGUAAAAUUGGAAAAUGUGUGUUGGUACUUACAAAAGGGGAAAAUCGCGGGUAUCCAAGGGGCUAAUCCAAAGUUUGAUUGCCAUACUGCAGCCUUGAGGUUGUCACUGGUUAGUUUAAAAGUGCCAUUCAUUGUUAUGUUGAAUAUUAUUUGAAUUUUGACAGUUUUAUGGAUAUAAUUUGAAGUGAUUGUUGGUGCUGCUGGACAGAUAUGAGCAUGCAACAGGCACAGGCAAAGUACUAAUGUUUAUUUGCUGGCUUUAAACCUUACUAGAGGAAUCCCAUUAACCCCUAAAAUGAAGCAAAACCACGCUUAAGAUUCUAAACCCACCCGCACCAUGAACAACAUGAAAUCUAUACAAAUCUUGGUCCAUCUAUAGUGAUAAAUUUAAGAAUCAAAUUCAAAUGCAUAUACUUAUAUACGCAUCUUGAAAAUGGGUACAAAACACAUAGAUAUAAGCCAGUGAGCGAACAUCAGAAGAAUUUUGAAUUGAGAACUAUAAGUAUAUUGCUGGUGGUUUAUUGUUGUCUAAAUUUAGUUCUUAGUUUUUGUGGUUUGUUGAUUUUGCAGCUGGUGGUCAAGGUAUUGAUGUUCUGAUGAAUGUGGAGCACUCAAGUUGACCUCUGGUUGCCUCAAAGCUGGCCCCUGGCAUGUCCGUUACAGGCUAAACAGAGUGGGUCAAAAUGAGCCUCUUAAGUUGCCAACAAUGGUUAUUUCUGUUGUCAAGGCUUUAAUUUGAUGGUUAGAUGUGAUCAUUUCUUUUUGUGACUACCAUUGAUAUAUGUAGAAAAUAUGUAUAUCUUCAAGCACCAAUGCACCGGUAACAAUAAGUUGUAUACAAAAUCAUUACAUUCUUACUUUUCAAUAACCAUCUUUCUUUGUAUCUACCGGUAAACUUUAACAAGUUCUCAAGAUUGUCAUGAAAGUAAAAAGAGCAUCAGUAAGUGAGAUAACAAACCAGCAUUGAUGACAUUUUCUAUCUUCUUACAUGUGCUCCUAUGAUCAUUGCAUUUAUGUC